GUACAUGAGGCUGGAGAAGGUGAGAUGAUGUUAGGAAACCAAUUGAAGCCAAAUCCUUUCAAGUCUUGUGUACAAGACUAAGUUGCUUAAACUGUAUCCUACAGAAAAUAGAAGCUUUUAGCAGUUUCGAAGGGAAUGACAUGAUCAUAUGGAUGUUUUAUUUUAUUCCACUUUAUUUUUUAAAGAUUUUAUUUAUUUAUUCAUGAGAGACCCAGAGAGAGAGAGAGGCAGAGACACAGGCAGAAGCAGGCUCCGAUGUGGGACUCGAUCCCAGGACUCUAGGAUCAUACCCUGGGCUGAAGGCAGGCGCUAAACCGCUGAGCCACCCAGGUGUCCCGAUAUGGAUGUUUUAGAAAGUGGGGCACACGCUCAGUUGGUUGAGCGUUCGACUCUUGAUUUCAGCUCAAGUCCUGAUCUCAGGGUCCUGGGAUUGAGCCCCAAGUCAGGCUUUGUGCUCAGUUUAGAAUUCUCUCUGUGUCUCCCUCUCCCUCCCAGAUUAUGCUCUCUUUCUCUUUUUCUCUCUCUAAAACAAAUAAUAAAAAAAUAAUAAUAAUAAUAAAUAAAUAAAUAAAAUAAAUAACAAACAAAUAAUUAAAUCUUUUAAAGAAAGAAAGAAAAAAGAGAUUGCAGGCCACAGUUAGGGAGGCUAUUUGAAAAAUACUGUAGAGAGGAUUAGGAACCGAACAAAGAAAAGACCCCACUGCAGAGGCUGCGGGGGACCCCCAGGGUAGGGGUCCAAUGCAGGACAAGGCAGAGGCUGAGGUUCCACAGUCAGAGAGAGCUGAGGGGAGGCAAAGCUGGCCAGGGAGAGGGGUUCAGUGUUCCAGGAGGCAUUGCUGAGGCCGUAAAGGGCCAGCUGUUAACUGCUGGAGCCUGCCACUUAGGAACCAGCACAGUGCAUAGCGAACAGGUGGACAAGGCAGCAGAGGAGGCAAAGGACACCCCCCCUCCACCCUAGGACCUUGGCUCUUCCUGCAGUGGUAGACUCCUAAGCCCCACCCCUCCCUCUUCUCCAAACACCUGCUCACCAUAUUAGGAAAAGAAACCAACAAAGGCGGAGGUUAUCUGAAAAUUACAAUAUCUUUAGCCAAGAGAAACUGAACAUACCUAUUUAAUUAAUUAAACAAGGAGGCCAUUAGACUGAGGUGACCCUGAUGCCAUGGCAGCCUAAGUAAGCAAACCAAAAUCUAAGCCCGUAAAUGCCUCAAGGUUAUGAAACUGAAACCUAAAGACAUCCAGUCACCAACAGCCAACCAGACUAAACUAUGGCCAAUCAAUAAUUCCUUGCUUCACUUCCACCUUUUCUCCAGAAAAGUCUUAUUCCUAACCACUUCCAGUUUGGUGCUGCCCAUUCAAGUAGAUUUUUUUUUUUUUAAGUUUUAUUUUUGAGAGAAAGUGAGAGAGAAAGAGCAUGAAUGGGGAGAAAGGUCAGAGGGACAGGGAGAAGCAGACUCCUCACUGAGCACGGAGCCCCAUGGAUGCAAGACUCGAUCCCAGGACCCUGGGAUCAUGACCUGAGCCGAAGGCAGAUGCUUAACCAACUGAGCCACCCAGGCACCCCUUGUUGAUUUUUAAUCAAAUAAGCUCUUUAAAUUUUUAAUAUGCCUCAGUUUAUCUUUUAAUACACCCAAGGAGAUCAUUUCAAUUAUCAGCAUUGUCAUGCUUUACACCAAAUCAGACAUUUAGCUAAUCACCACCACCACCAUUAGCAGCUAACCAUGUAAUUAGGAGCGCUAGAGAAGGCCAGAUCAAUUAUGGACAAAAUAAUAGGAAAGCCAUCUUCUCUGCAAAACAUAGGUAUAGCACCGGUUAAAUUAUACACCUCAGAUACAGAAGCACCAUGAAAGCAGAGUCAAACAUACAAACAUUGGUUGAUUCUAUCCUAUACCGUCCAUGGGCAGCACUGGAUCUGGGGGACAUUGGCAAUUGGGUCACUAGAGAUAAUUCCCACUUAGGAGGCAGGUACAUUUUGGAGGACCUGGCCCUGACCCGAGACUCUCCAGUUCUUUGCCCCAGUCUAUGUUCAUCAAAUGACCCAUGAUUAUUAUUAUUAGUUCAAUCAAUUCUUUAAUACUAGAGACUGGUAUUGGAAAAGGACCCCUUUCCCCCUUAAAAGAAACAGGAAUGGACUUUGAUUUUAUAUAAACAGGACUUAGACCCUUAGUCCAGAGCAUACGCCUCAUGUCAGAAGCAGCCCAAGAUGGAAUCAACCAUGUUAUAAUCAGCAUGAGAAAUGUAGAUCCCAGCAAUUUCUAGAACUGCUGGCUGGGUUCUACCUUAGGAAUUUGAGUUCUGCAAAAAGACAGGAAACAUUUAGCAAGACCGGUGAUUUCCCAAGAUGUAUCUGAGAAAUGACUGUUUCAGUAAGUAGCAUCUGUAUGGACUGAAGGUGUUCAUACCUGGUUGUGCAGAGAUGCUGCAUCAGCACUGCCCUUUCCAUAGCAGUGAUAAUGGAGUGACUGACACUCUAUUCUGUGGCUGCAGUGGCUCUAGCUCACAACCAGCUCGUACCAGCUCAACAUGUUCCUUUUUUUUAAAUAUAUUUUUUAAUGUAUUUACUUGAGAGAGAGCAAGAGCUAGAGAGAGCACAGAGGGAGAGGGAGAAGCAGACUCCCAACCGAGUAGGGAGCUGAUGUGAGGCUUGAUCCAGGGACCCUGGGGUCAUGACCUGAGCCAAAGGCAGGCACUUAACCAACUGAGCCACCCAGGUGCCCCUCGAUAUGUUCUCUUUUUGUUACUUACCAUUUUGAUAUAAGAAGUGGAGCUAGGCAGGCCUGAGUCAAUACUCACUGUGCCUCCUUUGCUACAGUCUUCCCUGAAUCUUGUUUUUUCUCAGCCAUGAGAAUACCAAUGGUCAUUACCUCUCAGGCAGAUAAACUAGGUAAAACACCUAACAAUGCACAGCCUGGCACCCAACAGCCACAGACCACUGUUAAUUCUGAUUCCUUUUUCUGAGUUUCUGAUUCCAAACUGAGGCAGACUCUCCAGGAUCCUCAAGAUUGACCUCGGCUUGGGGUCCUCUGCACCCACUUGUAAUUCUUUCUCAUCUUUAGGGGAAGAACAUAACCUGCAGUCAGACUUGGGGCCCUUUGUUUAGGGCAUGAUUGGACAUACUUCUGGAAGGAAUGGUGUUGGGAGUGUGGGGUACAACUCAAGGAAACGCAUGAUUCUCAAACUUCAGUGAGCAUGGGAAUCAUUUAGGGAGUUUAUUAAAAAUACAGAUACCCGGGGUCCUGGGAUCAAGUCCUGCGUCAGGCUUCCUGCAGGAAACCUGCUUCUCCCUCUGCCUAUGUCUUUGCCUCUCUCUGCGUGUCUCUCCUGAAUAAAUAAAUCUUAAAAAAAAAAAAAA
rnacentral:lncRNA from 1 species